UCCUUAUGGUAGACUCAGCUAUCUAUCCUAUUUAUUCUUCUAGCCUAGUGAUAGAUUGCUGUUGGGUUAUAAUCAAUUAUUGGAGUUAAUUUAACCUAUCGUUGGCUAGAUUGGUCUGUUGAGGAAGUGGGUAUGAUGGCUGAUUGUAAUAGGAUGGCUGGGUUGGCUGACUAGACUGACCUUUAUUAUAGGCAUAGUUUAGAUACUG
rnacentral:lncRNA from 1 species